rnacentral:rRNA from 1 species
CGAAAGCCUGACGGAGCAACGCCGCGUGAGGGAGGAAGGCUCUUGGGUUGUAAACCUCUUUUCUCAAGGAAGAUAAUGACGGUACUUGAGGAAUCAGCAUCGGCUAACUCCGUGCCAGCAGCCGCGGUAAUACGGAGGAUGCAAGCGUUAUCCGGAAUAAUUGGGCGUAAAGCGUUCGUAGGUGGUGAUGUAAGUCUGCUGUUAAAGCGUGUAGCUUAACUACAUAUAGGCGGUGGAAACUACAUGACUAGAGUGCGUUCGGGGCAGAGGGAAUUCCUGGUGUAGCGGUGAAAUGCGUAGAUAUCAGGAAGAACACCGGUGGCGAAGGCGCUCUGCUAGGCCGUAACUGACACUGAGGGGCGAAAGCUAGGGGAGCG